rnacentral:rRNA from 1 species
GAGACACGCCCAGACUCCUACGGGAGGCAGCAGUGGGGAAUAUUGCACAAUGGGCGCAAGCCUGAUGCAGCGACGCCGCGUGAGGGAUGACGGCCUUCGGGUUGUAAACCUCUUUCAUAGGGAAGAAGCGAAAGUGACGGUACCUGCAGAAGAAGCACCGGCUAACUACGUGCCAGCAGCCGCGGUAAUACGUAGGUGCGAGCGUUAUCCGGAAUUAUUGGGCGUAAAGAGCUCGUAGGCGGUUUGUCGCGUCUGCCGUGAAAGUCCGGGGCUUAACUCCGGAUCUGCGUGGGUACGGGCAGACUAGAGUGCAGUAGGGGAGACUGGAAUUCCUGGUGUAGCGGUGGAAUCGCAGAUAUCAGGAGGAACACCGAUGGCGAAGGCAGGUCUCUGGGCUGUAACUGACGCUGAGGAGCGAAAGCAUGGGGAGCGAACAGAUUAGAUACCCUGGUAGUCCAUGCCGUAAACGUUUGGCACUAGGUGUGGGGGCCAUUCCACGGUUUCCGCGCCGCAGCUAACGCAUAAGUGCCCCGCCUGGGGAGUACGGCCGCAAGGCUAAAACUCAAAGGAAUUGACGGGGGCCGCACAAGCGGCGGAGCAUGCGGAUUAAUUCGAUGCAACGCGAAGAACCUUACCAAGGCUUGACAUGUUCUCGUUCGCCGUAGAGAUACGUUUCCCCUUUGGGGCGGGUUCACAGGUGGUGCAUGGUUGUCGUCAGCUCGUGUCGUGAGAUGUUGGGUAAGUCCCGCAACGAGCGCAACCCCUGUUCUAUGUUGCCAGCACGUGAUGGUGGGGACUCAUGGGAGACUGCCGGGGUCAACUCGGAGGAAGUGGGGACGACGUCAAAUCAUCAUGCCCCUUAUGUCUUGGGCUUCACGCAUGCUACAAUGGCCGGUACAAUGGUUGCG